rnacentral:rRNA from 1 species
UGGGGAAUAUUGGACAAUGGGCGAAAGCCUGAUCCAGCCAUGCCGCGUGUGUGAAGAAGGUCUUCGGAUUGUAAAGCACUUUAAGUUGGGAGGAAGGGCAUUAACCUAAUACGUUAGUGUUUUGACGUUACCGACAGAAUAAGCACCGGCUAACUCUGUGCCAGCAGCCGCGGUAAUACAGAGGGUGCAAGCGUUAAUCGGAAUUACUGGGCGUAAAGCGCGCGUAGGUGGUUUGUUAAGUUGGAUGUGAAAUCCCCGGGCUCAACCUGGGAAUUGCAUUCAAAACUGACUGACUAGAGUAUGGUAGAGGGUGGUGGAAUUUCCUGUGUAGCGGUGAAAUGCGUAGAUAUAGGAAGGAACACCAGUGGCGAAGGCGACCACCUGGACUAAUACUGACACUGAGGUGCGAAAGCGUGGGGAGCAAACA